GAUGAAGAACGUAGCGAAAUGCGAUAAGUAAUGUGAAUUGCAGAAUUCAGUGAAUCAUCGAAUCUUUGAACGCACAUUGCGCCCCCUGGCAUUCCGGGGGGCAUGCCUGUUCGAGCGUCAUUACAACCCUCAAGCUCUGCUUGGCAUUGGGCUCUGCUGGGACCGGCAGGCCUUAAAAUCAGUGGCGGCGCCACUCGGCUUCAAGCGUAGUAAUUCUUCUCGCUUCGGAGACCCGGGUGCGUGCUAGCCAGCAACCCCCAACUUUCUUAGGUUGACCUCGGAUCAGGUAGGGAUACCCGCUGAACUUAAGCAUAUCAAUAAGCGGAGGA
rnacentral:misc_RNA from 1 species